GUCCUGGCUGUAAACGAUGUCGACUAGAUCGUGGUGGCUCUGACGCCUUCACGGUCGAAGCAAAGUGCUAAGUCGACCGCCUGGGAAGUACGGUCGCAAGGCUAAACUCAAAGGAAUUGACGGGGCUCACACAAGCGGUGGAGCAUGUGGUUCAAUUCGAAGCAACGCGCAGAACCUUACCUGGGUUUGACUCGCCAGGAUUAUCCCCACGAAAGUGGGGUACGCCCUUCGGGGUGGAACUGGUACAGGUGCUGCAUGGCUGUCGU
rnacentral:rRNA from 1 species